rnacentral:rRNA from 1 species
UACGAAGGGGGCUAGCGUUGCCCGGAAUCACUGGGCGUAAAGGGCGCGUAGGCGGCGUUUUAAGUCGGGGGUGAAAGCCUGUGGCUCAACCACAGAAUGGUCUUCGAUACUGGGACGCUUGAGUAUGGUAGAGGUUGGUGGAACUGCGAGUGUAGAGGUGAAAUUCGUAGAUAUUCGCAAGAACACCGGUGGCGAAGGCGGCCAACUGGACCAUUACUGACGCUGAGGCGCGAAAACGUGGGGAGCAAACAGG